rnacentral:rRNA from 1 species
AAAGAGAGAUUAAUACCGCAUAAUAUAUAUUUAAUGCAUAUUAGAUAUAUUAAACCUACGGGGGUUUAAGAUGGGCAUGCGUGACAUUAGCUAGUUGGUGAGGUAACGGCUCACCAAGGCAACGAUGUCUAGGGGGUCUGAGAGGAUGUCCCCCCACACUGGUACUGAGACACGGACCAGACUCCUACGGGAGGCAGCAGUAGGGAAUAUUGGUCAAUGGGGGCAACCCUGAACCAGCCAUGCCGCGUGCAGGAAUAAGGCCCUAUGGGUCGUAAACUGCUUUUGAACGGGAAGAAAUCUAUUUACGUGUAGAUAGUUGACGGUACCGUUAGAAUAAGGAUCGGCUAACUUCGUGCCAGCAGCCGCGGUAAUACGAAGGAUCCAAGCGUUGUUCGGAUUUACUGGGUUUAAAGGGUGCGUAGGCGGACUUAUAAGUCAGUGGUGAAAGCCUUCAGCUUAACUGAAGAACUGCCAUUGAAACUGUAAGUCUCGAGUUCGGUUGAGGUCAUUGGAAUGUAACAUGUAGCGGUGAAAUGCAUAGAUAUGUUACAGAACACCGAUUGCGAAGGCAGAUGACUAAACCGAAACUGACGCUGAGGCACGAAAGCGUGGGGAUCAAACAGGAUUAGAUACCCUGGUAGUCCACGCCCUAAACGUUGAAUACUCGACCUUAGCGAUAUACAGUUAGGGUCCAAGCGAAAGCGUUAAGUAU